CCUACGGGAGGCUGCAGUGGGGAAUAUUGCACAAUGGGGGAAACCCUGAUGCAGCGACGCCGCGUGAGUGAAGAAGUAUUUCGGUACGUAAAGCUCUAUCAGCAGGGAAGAAAAUGACGGUACCUGACUAAGAAGCCCCGGCUAACUACGUGCCAGCAGCCGCGGUAAUACGUAGGGGGCAAGCGUUAUCCGGAUUUACUGGGGGUAAAGGGAGCGUAGACGGCAGCGCAAGUCUGGAGUGAAAUCCCAUGGCUUAACCAUGGAACUGCUUUGGAAACUGUGCAGCUAGAGUGCAGGAGAGGUAAGCGGAAUUCCUAGUGUAGCGGUGAAAUGCGUAGAUAUUAGGAGGAACACCAGUGGCGAAGGCGGCUUACUGGACUGUAACUGACGUUGAGGCUCGAAAGCGUGGGGAGCAAACAGGAUUAGAUACCCCGGUAGUC
rnacentral:rRNA from 1 species